AGUGUGGCAGGUCCACUAAAGGUGAAUAAAAACAGAGAGAAUCUGAGAGUGACACUGACCUGCACCUCCACCUGCCCUCCGAACUCCAGACCCACCUACAUCUGGUACAGGAACAGACAACCUGUUGGUGCCAAAUACACGACCAGCGGCAACACUCUGGUGAUUAACCCAGUCAGUAAAGAUGACAGUGGACAUUACUCCUGUGCUCUAAGUGGACAUGAGGACCAUCCCUCUCCACCAGUGUGUGUAUUUUCUUGCAGUAGUGUGACAUAUACCCACCAGGAGAUCUGCGCUGUGGAAGGUUCCUCUGUGGACAUAACAUGCUACUAUUCUUACCCCAGUG